GAGUUUGAUUCUGGCUCAGGAUGAACGCUGGCGGCGUGCCUAAUACAUGCAAGUUGAACGGACUUGGAGGGUGCUUGCACCUAACAAGUUAGUAGCGAACGGGUGAGUAAUACAUAAGCAACCUACCUAUUAGACUGGGAUAACUAUGGGAAACGAUAGCUAAUACCGGAUAGGUAACUUGAAGGCAUCUUUAAGUUAUUAAAGGUUAGAGACACUAAUAGAUGGGCUUAUGGCGUAUUAGUUAGUUGGUGAGGUAACGGCUCACCAAGACGAUGAUACGUAGCCGGCCUGAGAGGGUGAACGGCCACAUUGGGACUGAGACACGGCCCAGACUCCUACGGGAGGCAGCAGUAGGGAAUUUUCGGCAAUGGGCGCAAGCCUGACCGAGCAACGCCGCGUGAGUGAAGAAGGCCUUCGGGUUGUAAAGCUCUGUUAUAAAUUAAGAAUGGCUAUAAGGGACUAUAGAGA
rnacentral:rRNA from 1 species